CACGUAGGCGGCCAUUCAAGUCAGAGGUGAAAGCCCGGGGCUCAACCCCGGAACUGCCUUUGAAACUAGAUGGCUUGAAUCUUGGAGAGGCGAGUGGAAUUCCGAGUGUAGAGGUGAAAUUCGUAGAUAUUCGGAGGAACACCAGUGGCGAAGGCGGCUUACUGGUCCAUUACUGACGCUGAGGUGCGAAGGCGUGGGGAGCAAACA
rnacentral:rRNA from 1 species